GCCAUUAUGAUGGAUGUUUACAUCUCUUCAUUGAGAGCCAAUUAUCUCGCUUUUGUGUGAGGCCCAAGGAUCACUCAUGCUUCCAGGCUGCACAGAGCACUGUUGGAUCUAGCUGAACGAAUUGUUUUCUCUGUCUCUGAGUGGUCAUGCAGAAAGAAAGGAAGAACAAAAUGGAGGAAAGAAAUAAAGGAGAAAACUAAAUAGGAAGAGAGAAUAGGAAGAAAAUGAAUAAAGAGAGAGAAGAAGAAAGAAGAAAGGAAGGGAGGAAGAGAGAGGAAAGCAAGUAGGAAGGGAGAGGGAAGAAGACAAAUGCAUAGGGAUAUAACAGGCA
rnacentral:lncRNA from 1 species